CAUUUGAUUAUGGGUGGGAUAACAAUUCAGUCACCGCGUUACUAGUGAAACUACCUUAAACUGCUUUCCAUAAAAUUUCAGUUUCAUUUCAUGGAGUUACAAAAGUACUUUUGGUUAGCUGAAAUUGCAGCAGGACUGUGUGGGGAUGUUUUUUCGUUUUGAUGUUACGCAUUUAGCAUACGCUCAUGAUAUUUUUUUAUACUUUUCGCAUAUUUAUGGCUAAAUGUCUUUUUAUUUAACCUUUAUUUUUAACCAGGUAUCCUGCAGGCAUGAGUGAAUCAGCUAACAUUGUCAUAAGCACAGCACUCUUCAUACUCAUUAUCGUAGACAUCACGGGAAACUCUGUUGUGUGCUGGAUCAUAAGGAGAAACCGAGACAUGAGGUUGUUAUGAUUACCAAUUUAUGAUGUUAGCUAUAUAUGACAUGUGAUAAUAUUGCACGCGAUGAACAAUGACUUUCUAAGGGAAUAUCGUAAAUCAUCUACUCGUGAACUUGGCAAUCGCAGACAUACUAUUCGCCAUGUUUAUCGCCCCUUCAGUUCUUCUCAGACUAACUUCCUUUCACCCAAAAGGCAUGAUUGCUACAGGUCUAUGCAAAUUUGUGACAGGCGGCAAUGUUGCGUGGAUUGGAGCGAUUUCCUCGAUAUUCAGUCUGGUCGCAAUUGCUGUUGAACGAUAUUACGCAGUGAUGUAUCCCUUUAGUAACAGAGGGAAUUUAACGAAGCGUAAGUUAAAGGUGAUCGUCCUGGUUUCUUGGAUCUUCCCAGUAGCAUUCAAUAUUCCCAUGUUUCUCAUUGCAACCUUCGACAACAAAAAGCAGUUCUGCAUAUGGAAUUGGCCACAGGAGUGGAUGCCAAAGGCUUACAGUAUGGCCUGGUUGUUCGUGGUUGUCGUUCCUCUGAUUUUCAUGGUUGAGUUAUACUUCAAUGUUGUAAGAACGUUAUGGUUUAAGCGCCACAGUAUUCAUCUUUCUCAUGAACAGCGGGUGAGAGUAAAGAAAUGACUUUCCAGAUAUUUUCUAUUGGCUCAUUUUAACUUGUGAUCUCCUUUCUUUGCUCUUGAUUAAUUUUUGCCUAAGUCUCUAAGGUCUCUAAAAAUUGUAGCGUAGUCUAGCCUAAGAAAUGCAGUUAAUGCAACUACU